rnacentral:rRNA from 1 species
UACGAAGGGGGCUAGCGUUGCUCGGAAUGACUGGGCGUAAAGGGCGCGUAGGCGGUUCGUACAGUCAGACGUGAAAUUCCCGGGCUCAACCUGGGGACUGCGUUUGAUACGUGCGGGCUUGAGUUCGGAAGAGGGUCGUGGAAUUCCCAGUGUAGCGGUGAAAUGCGUAGAUAUUGGGAAGAACACCUGAGGCGAAGGCGGGUUGCUGGGCUGAUACUGACGCUGAGGCGCGAAAGCCAGGGGAGCAAACGGG